UCCAGUUCAUGCAAAGUGCGAAGCAAAGGCGAACAGAGAUAGAGCAUGCACUGCAGAGACUCCAUCCAGAUCAUCUGGCCUGUUUGAAACAAGUACUGGGCAACUGAAUGAGCAGCAGAUUGGAUCAGUAAAUAUACCAUGUGAAUUAACCCUGAUAGCGUAAGAGGAAGUAAAAUUGUACCUGUGACUAAA